rnacentral:tRNA from 1 species
GCGCGAGUGGCGAAACUGGCAGACGCAGUGGACUUAAAAUCCACAGACCCUUUGGUGGGUCGUAGGGGUUCAAGUCCCCUCUCGCGCACCA